GCCGGAUCACGCAUUUCAGGCUCACCGAGCUGCCCUCCAUCACAUGGAUAUCCGACUCGCCCAUGAUCUCAAUCUUUGGCACUGUUGGAUGAAAAGAGUCAUUAGAGUUGUGUUGGGUUUUCAAUGCACGCGAUAUACCAUAAUCGUUUAAACACCAACAUUAUCGAUAGAUAUGAAGAGAUAAAAUAUUUUUUUUGAAUAUAUUAUGUAAUUCUAAUUUAGAAAGUGAACGAAAAUUCGUUUGAUCGUAAUGUAUUAAUAGAAUAAUUACACUUUGUUAUAAAAUACAUGAAUUUGACUUUUAAUUAAAUUCGAUUACAGUAUUCGUAUCCAAAUUGUUAUUUUAAUGCUGAAAUGUAAUUAAAAUACACAAUAACAAUGAUAUUGCGGGUAUGUAUUAUAUUCAUACACCUACAUACAUGUAUCGGUCCUUACUUGGCUUUUGUAAGUUACAAAUUAUGACAUUUGGUUAUUAAUAAAUGACAUAAUAUAUAUUAACUUAAAAAUAUGUUUUUUAGGCUUGA